GUGUUUCAGCAGCACACAUACUAAAAUUUUGAAAACUACAGAGAUUAGCAUGUGCAAGGAUGACAAAUUUGUGAAAUGUUUCAUAGUUUA
rnacentral:snRNA from 10 species